ACUAAAUAAAAUUUUAAACGGUUCACGAAGUCCGGGAAUCUUUUCAUGACCUGGUCUACAGUUUCACGCGUAUUAAAGAUCCGGCGGUGUCUGACAAAGCGUCGGGUGAUUGUUCAUAUCUGUCAUUUAAAAUAAAGUUAAUAAAUGUAAUUCUGUCCACUAUGGCAAAAUAGGAAUUUAUUUUAGAUUUAGGUGAAUCUUUAACCAUGUCUCUGAUUAAAACUUUUGAUUGUAACAUCACAAGUUAUUUAAUUAAAUAUUCUGUAUACGGGUAUAGUUUAAGCAAUGACCUGAGCCAUUACCUUCGGAGCCGUCAAUACUACAUUCUUUAGACGAUAGUCUAAACUAAAUAAAUUUUUAAACGGUUCAGGAAUUCCGUGAAUCUUUUCAUAACCUGCACUAUAGUUUCACGCGUAUUAAAGAUCCGGCGGUGCCUGACAAAGCGCCGGGUGAGUGUUCAUAUCUGCCAUUUUAAAAUAAUGUUAAUAAAUGUAAUUCUGUCCACUAUGGCAAAAUAGGAUUUUAUUUUAGAUUUAGUGGAAUCUUUAACCAAGUCUCUGAUUAAGACAUGUGUAUACGUGCACAGAUGGUGACAGAGAAACUUAUAUAUGACGUUAAUAAUCUUUUAAAUGUUUUUAAGACGUAUUCACCCCAUUUUGGGGUUUUAUUUUUAAUUAAAGGCUUCUUAAAACAUGUGUGAAUAUGUGUAUAUUAUACAAAGAGUCUUAUAUUGUCUGCUCUGACAAAAAUAAAGUAUUUUUUAGGUUUAGGGGAAUUGACGGCGUGUGUCUUAUAAAUACAACUUGAUAAUACGUUUGUUUUGUAAAGAGACUUCUUUAAAGUCACGCAAGAAUAAAAUAUUUUAGUUGUAACUGGUUAAACUUAAAGCCGAUAUUUUCUAUCGAACUAGUCUAUUUUCUGUUCAGACACAAAGUUUUCUGAUGCUGAUAUUAUGUCAGUGUGUGUUUGUGUGGGGGUCGUGUGAUGUAAUCUUUGAAAGUUUAUGACCGAACCUUUAUUGGGGAGCGACAAGAGAUCUCCCGGAAUCAGUUUGGAUGGAGCAGAGCUGUUAUACUCAAGUCUAUUGGUAUGUAUGUGUUUCGCUGUGUUCGUUCCAGUAUUUUGUAUGAUUUAUUUAAAAACUAAAAAUUCGAUCUCUGGUAUUGCAGCGAAAUUGUCUAAACUGGUAUUAACUAUUCCUGGUAAAUCGCGGAGAAGAGUGGCCUGAACAAAAAAGUCAGACCGAGACUAGAACCUCCCGCAGCGUAACACGGAAAUCUUGGAACAAAAGAGACGCCGACUGGUUCGUGUUGUCCGGUUUGGAUAUCAGAGGCAAAGCGAACGUUGUGUGUACUAUUGCAAAAUAUAUAGCGGAUCUCCACGGUUAGGAUACAGACCACAACGCUUUGGACGUAUCUUUAAAAAAGAUUAAAAUCAGAGACUUUUUGGAUUUGUCUGGGGACAUUUUAAACAUUUUGUGGCAAAUUGGAUUUAAAACAUUUCGGAUACUGGAUACCUAGUUUGAUUUGUCCACAGAGCUUGUUUAAGACGUUUUCACCGCAUUUUAGGGUUUAUUUUUAAUUAAAGGCUUCUUAAAACAUGUGUGAAAAUGUGUAUAUUAUACAAUGAGUCUUAUAUUGUCUGCUCUGACAUAAAUAAAUUUUUAUAUUAGAUUUUA